AGGACAAACUACGUCGAUCUGGCCAGUGUUAGGAACCAAUCUGAGAACGAGGAAAUCAGUAAUCUCGUGAAUACAUAUUCAUGGAUCGGCUUGUACAGAGAGUCUUGGAGAUGGUCAGAUGGUCAGCGUCUGAGGAUGACUUCAUUCAGCAAAUGGGAUACAAGUCAGUCAGUAAACGUCGACAACUCCUGUGUGACUACAACAAGCAGCACAUGGUAUAAACGGCCCUGCUCCAGCACAUAUUCUUUCAUUUGUAUGGACUACCCUAAGACAAUACAGAGGAAGGUGGUGAAAAUAUUUGUGUCCAAAUCAAACUCGUCGUUGGACCUGGAAGCACUGCAGGACACCAUCUUGCUGCAGCUGAACAGCAGACUGCAAGAGAAUGGACUGGGAGAAGUCAAACUGAAAUGGAUGAAGCAGCCUGAUGGAAAGAUUUUCUCUGAAAAAAAGGAGACGAAAAAGAACAAACAGUAAAACGUGACAAUCAUUGGGGAAAAUGUCGUUCACUCAGAAAAAUGGAAGGGUAGUUUUUGUUUUGGGAUAUUUGCUUCAAUUACAAAUGAUCACAAAGGAUGAUUAUCCUAAAUGCUAGUGACCUUUACGUAUCUUGUGUUCCCAUUUCAGAUUAACUGAUUUUCUCAUGA